UUCGAGGGAAGCUAGGGUUUCCUCGAAAUUUCCUCGGAAUUACCCUUAACGGUUUAGGGGUUUGAUAAAAAUUACCUAGAUCCUCGAAAUUUCCUCGAAAUAUUCCGAGGAAAUUUCGACGACCAAGAUAAUUUUAGGGGUUUGAUUUAAAACACCUUUCUUCGUCGAAAUACCCUCGAAAUAUUUCGAGGAAAUUUCGAGGGAAUACAAAUUUUUUGGCUUUCCUCGAAAUUCCGUCGAAAUAUUUCGAGGGAAUUUCGAGGACCUAGCCAAUUUUUGGUAGUUCCUCGAAAUUCCCUCACAAUAUUUCGACGGAAUUUCGAGGAACAGGGGGUUUUAAACCGAAAACAACGUUUUGCGGAUUGAAUAACACGUAUAUAACCUUCAUUAAGUGUCUUAGCCAGAUUAUAAAGUCCAACUUUAGGGUUUUAACCCGAAAACAAUGUUUUGCGGAUUGAGACGAAAACCACACAACAUAAGAUAAACACUUAUACGUUUUAAUAAACGUUAAAGGAAAUACUUACAAUAAUUUUUGUAAUUGUGUUAUUUCAUUAUUUAUGAUCAUCUAUACAAAGAAACCUCAUUAUUAUGAAUUACAUUUGUAUAAGAAAUGACAUAGGGAAAAAAAUCGAUGUUUUCAAAACCCCAAACCCUAUUUCCUCGAAAUUUCCUCACAAUAUUGUGAGGAAAUUUCGAGGAAUGUUUUCCUCGGACUGUUUUUCAUUAACCAGGAAACCCUAGCCGCCAACAAGAGAAUUUCGAGGAAAUUUCGACGACCACGUUAAAAAAUUUCGAGGAAAUUUCGACGGACCCUGUCCGUCGGACCCCUCAUAAAUUAGGUUUUCAUUCUUUUCUUCCCCAUUUCUCUCCUUCUCGAUUUUCCUCUCUUCCUCACCGCCUCCUUCUCCUCUCCUCUCUCUUCCUCGCGGCUCCUCUCCUUCUCCUCUCCUCCUUGCCGGAUCUCCUCUCCUCUCCUCUCCUCUCUUCCUCUCGCCUCCUUCCUCCCCUCUCUUCCUCUCCUCUCUUCCCAUGUCUCAAGAGGAACAUACCCGCUCUCGACAGCGUCGUGGUCGUGGUGGUUCGGGGAGCGGCUCCAUUUCGGGUUCCGCAUCGCCGUACAGCUCGUACCAGACAUCUCCUUCUCCAUUUCCCUCUCAUUCUCCUCCCGCUCCCGGUGUGGCACCCACUCCUGCUCCUGCUCAUGCUCCUGCUCAUCCGGCACUUCUGAGAGUUGCGGAGUUUGUUCGACAGCCGGGUCGUGACCAUCUUCCAUAUCUCACUCAGUAUCCACGUGGACAGGGUCAGACAUGGUAAUUAAACCUAUUUUUUUUCAUUAAAAUUUGAUUCAUUUAAAAUAUUUAAUUCUAAAAUAAUUAAUUCUUUUUAUUAAGUUUGACCGAUCCGGGAACGGGAUCAGCGGAUGGAUCAACAGUAUGAUGUACUCGUCCCUCGACAAUGGACAUCCGACUUUCACCGACUUCCCUCUCGAGAAGCAGCAUAUGUGGUUUCAACAGUUUGCGCAACAAUUCAACUGGAAUGCCGAUGAUACGUUGUUUAUCUAUUACCACUUCGUCCAUAAAGUUAUGGACAACUAUGGGAAGCAGAUGCACUCG